ACCCGUACCACCAACUUACGCUUGGAGGACUUCUUGCGUGCGGCUCCCUUCCUAUGGAAUAGCCUGGCUACUGCCAUCAGACUCUCCCUAGUCUUCAAUCAUUUAAGAAGAGCCUUAAAACCCAUUUCUUUAGAAAAGCUUAUGGCCUCCCAGAGUAACCUCUACCUCACAUACCUGUCUCUUGCGCUCUCCUAUAGGGCAGCACUCUACUCU